rnacentral:rRNA from 1 species
GAACGAGAAAGCCUGGGUGUAGCAAUACAUUCGGGUGAGUAAAGUGGCGUACGGGUGAGUAACACGUAGCUAACCUACCCUUCAGUGGGGGAUAACCUGGGGAAACUCGGGCUAAUACCGCUGAUCGAUCCCGGUUGCAUAAGCAGCUGGGCUCAAAGGCCCGCAAGGGUCGCUGAAGGAGGGGGCUGCGGCCGAUUAGCUAGUUGGCGGGGUAAUGGCCCACCAAGGCAGUGAUCGGUAGCCGGCCUGAGAGGGCGCACGGCCACACUGGCACUGAAACACGGGCCAGACUCCUACGGGAGGCAGCAGUGGGGAAUUUUGCACAAUGCCCGAAAGGGUGAUGCAGCAACGCCGCGUGAGGGAUGAAGGCCUUCGGGUCGUAAACCUCUUUCGACCGGGAAGAAUGGCUUCGUGAAGAGCGGAGUCUGA